rnacentral:rRNA from 1 species
UAAGGAAUAUUGGUCAAUGGACGAAAGUCUGAACCAGCCAUGCCGCGUGGAGGAUGAAGGUCCUCUGGAUUGUAAACUUCUUUUAUCUGGGACGAAAAAAGGUCUUUCUAGAUCGUCUGACGGUACCAGAUGAAUAAGCACCGGCUAACUCCGUGCCAGCAGCCGCGGUAAUACGGAGGGUGCAAGCGUUAUCCGGAUUCACUGGGUUUAAAGGGUGCGUAGGUGGGUUGGUAAGUCAGUGGUGAAAUCUUCGAGCUUAACUCGGAAACUGCCAUUGAUACUAUCAGUCUUGAAUAUUGUGGAGGUUAGCGGAAUAUGUCAUGUAGCGGUGAAAUGCUUAGAUAUGACAUAGAACACCAAUUGCGAAGGCAGCUGGCUACACAUAUAUUGACACUGAGGCACGAAAGCGUGGGGAUCAAACAGGAUUAGAUACCCUGGUAGUCCACGCCCUAAACUAUGGAUACUCGACAUAACGCGAUACACUGUGUGUGUCUGAGCG